UUUGUUGGUUCAAGAAUAAAAGGUUAAAUGGCAGAGGGAAUUAUUUGCUGUGUAACAGUGUCAUUUAGAGAUAAACAGUGCCUCAUAAACAUUAUGACAGUGUCCCUUUUAGUAAAAACAUCCAGCCUCACUUGACUCGUUUUGGGCGCGUCUGCCCCUAAUCAUACGCAAUAUUAUCAUUGACAUGAUUAAGGGCGGAUGCACAUAAACACGUCAGGUGACUGAUGAUGCUGGAUUAUUUUAAUACAUUUCAAAAAAGAUCUGCAUUUCAACUGAAUCCUUGGCGUACGGAGGCCUCUUUCCCUUUCUCUCAGAUUGUUUUUACAUCUGUAACCUUUUUAUUGGUCAUUAGCUAAAACCCCCACCCAACUGAAUUAUAAACCUCCAAGGGGUCUUGAAAUGACAAUAUCUGACUGCUCUAAGGGAAAUGCCAGGUUAGUAGGAAAUUCAUUUAUUGGCAAAGCCCAGAAAGUCUCACCAAAUGUGCCACUAGGGGGUGCUGUUUGAAUAGAGCUUAUUAAUCAUCACUGGGCAUAACAUAAUAUUAGGUGGUAAUAUUUGGGGUGAAAAGCUCUGUCCUUAUUUCCCCAGUCCUGUUAUUAAUUGGGGCCCAGAUUCAAUUUCUGUACCAGCUGUACUUACAGUGUAAUAUGAUGAAUUCUGCUCUGUGUGGAUCUGUGAAUUGCGAUAUUAUAUAUAUAUAUAUCUAUAUCAGAGCUGGGGAGCGGGCAAAGUACCCCACAUACCCUUAGGGCCCCAAAUCAGCAUAAAUAAAUAUUGUGCCUUCCCUUCUGCCUUUUACUGAACCCCAACUCCCAGAAGGGGCAGUGAAUUGCAGGUGGGGGAUCCACAGACACCAGAACAAAUCCCAUUACAUUGCAUUGAGCCCCACUAGGUACCCCUUACAUUGCAUUGAGCCCCACUAGGUACCCCUUACAUUGCAUUGAGCCCCACUAGGUACCCCUUACAUUGCAUUGAGCCCCACUAGGUACCCCUUACAUUGCAUUGAGCCCCACUAGGUACCCCUUACAUUGCAUUGAGCCCCACUAGGUACCCCUUACAUUGCAUUGAGCCCCACUAGGUACCCCUUACAUUGCAUUUGGCCCCACUAGGUACCCCUUACAUUGCAUUGGGCCCCACUAGGUACCCCUUACAUUGCAUUGGGCCCCACUAGGUACCCCUUACAUUGCAUUGAGCCCCACUAGGUACCCCUUACAUUGCAUUGAGCCCCACCAGGUACCCCUUACAUUGCAUUGAGCCCCACCAGGUACCCCUUACAUUGCAUUGAGCCCCACCAGGUACCCCUUACAUUGCAUUGGGCCCCACCAGGUACCCCUUACAUUGCAUUGAGCCCCACCAGUUACCCCUUACAUUGCAUUGAGCCCCACCAGGUACCCCAUACAGGCAGAGGGGCCAAAUAAGCCAAUAUUUGGUGUUACAGGCCUUUCCUUACAGCAGGGUUUCUUAAAGCAGUAGUUACCUUUAAUUCAACUUUUAGUAUGUUGUAGAAAUGUGUAUUCAAAGUAACUUUUUAAUUAGUCUCCUCCCCUAAAUUAGAGAGGUUUCAGAUGUUUUUUUUUCCUUCCUUUGGAUCAACUAGUAGUUAGGCAGGUUAUAUAUAGGCAUUAAGGUUGAACUUGACGGACAUACGUCUUUUUUCAACCUAACUUACUAUGUAGCGAUUUGUUUUUCCCCGGAGAAUGAGGAUCAUGUGCAACAUUUACACAGUGUAAAGUCAGCUCAGUAAAAUAAAAAAUGGAAUUUACAUGUUAAUUAUAUAAGUAAUUUUAUUUACAAUCAUUAACGAAUCCCACAGGUUAUUAUGGGAGCUCUGAGUUCUAUCAGGAUCCAACACUGUAGUACAGGAGAUCCCAAACGUCUCGUUGGGGGAAGCCCCGCAGGUGGAACCAACGUUUGGAAUAAGCAGUGAGCUCCAUGUUGGACUCUUCCUCACAGAUGUCAGGGAGGCUCUAUGGGCUUUAGAGCAUGAACUUGACAAAGAUUCCAGGGAAUUUUCCUACAAUCAAGAAUCUCUGAGAGAAGUCCUACAGGACAGAGGUGUAACAAUAUCUGAUUGGGCAGACUGGAAAGUCCCAUUGGUCUAGAACUGCUUGUGGAUAUUGGUCUGGGUGAUGCUCUAUGUUCCCAGUAGACCAUGCUGCUGUCGACGUCAAACGCUGUUAAUCUUAUGGCGCAAACAAGUCCAAAUACCGUCUCCUCUCCAAAAAAUAAAGAAUACAUAGUA